UACCCCCUGGCCAUCUCAAAAUAAAGGCACACUUGCCUGGCUUUUUCUCAAUAUCACAUGCACAGUCAUAGAAGUUUGUUGUGCUUUCUGCAUCAUACACUGGCCUCCUGGCUCGCUGGGGUCUUUGGCUGCCACAGUACCAUUUGGACCUACUGCACAGGCAGUCUGAAUGGCUUACACAACCACACCUGGGCUGUAAACACAUUUGCCUGCAACAGUCCCCCUUGGUCUCCACUCCGCUACAUUAGGUGUUGUCACACCAUUUUUUCCUGUGUGGGUGGAUCCAUUCAGCCCCACACAGAAUCCAUGGGUUACUUCUCAAAAUCAAAGUUUGGACACACCCCUCCGACAUCUAAUUGCCAGGUUCAAAGGUGGAUGCAGGAGUGCCCAUAGCUGGUCUAUUGGUAGACACCUGUCUAGUCCGCCAUUACCACCUCCCCUGGCAGGGAAUUCCACAUCCUGAUUGCCCUAACAGUGAAGAACCCUUUCCUCCAUUGUGUUCGGAACUUUCUCUCCUCCAGCCGCAGCGAGUGCCCACG